CCUUGAGCUCACUUUGUAGCCCAGGCUGGUCUCAAAUUCACAGUGAUCCUCCUGCCUCAGCCUCCUGAGUGCUGGGAU
ensembl:miRNA